rnacentral:rRNA from 1 species
UACGGAGGGGGGCUAGCGUUGUUCGGAAUUACUGGGCGUAAAGAGCUCGUAGGUGGUUUGUCGCGUUGUCCGUGAAAUUCCCUGGCUUAACUGGGGGCGUGCGGGCGAUACGGGCAGACUGGAGUACUGCAGGGGAGACUGGAAUUCCCGGAGUAGUGGUGAAAUGCGUAGAGAUCGAGGAGACACCGGUGGCGAAGGCGGCCAGCUGGCGCUGACCUGACGCUGAGGCGCGAAGGCAUGGGGAGCGAACGGG